rnacentral:rRNA from 1 species
CUUGGUGACAAUAGCGUUUUGGACCCACCUGACCCCAUGCCGAACUCAGUAGUGAAACGAAACAGCGCCGAUGAUAGUG